rnacentral:rRNA from 1 species
AGGUUAACCGUAUAGGGGAGCCGUAGAGAAAUCGAGUCUUAAUAGGGCGUUUAGUUGCUGGGUAUAGACCCGAAACCAGGCGAUCUAUCCAUGAGCAGGUUGAAGGUUGGGUAACACUAACUGGAGGACCGAACCCACUGUCGUUGAAAAGCCAGGGGAUGACUUGUGGAUAGGGGGGAAAGGCUAAUCAAGCCUGGUGAUAGCUGGUUCUCCCCGAAAGCUAUUUAGGU